rnacentral:rRNA from 1 species
GACGAACGCUCGCGGCGUGCCUAAUACAUGCAAGUAGAACGCACAGUUUAUACCGUAGCUUGCUACACCAUAGACUGUGAGUUGCGAACGGGUGAGUAACGCGUAGGUAACCUGCCUGGUAGCGGGGGAUAACUAUUGGAAACGAUAGCUAAUACCGCAUAAUAUUAAUUAUUGCAUGAUAAUUAAUUGAAAGGUGCAAUUGCACCACUACCAGAUGGACCUGCGUUGUAUUAGCUAGUAGGUGAGGUAACGGCUCACCUAGGCGACGAUACAUAGCCGACCUGAGAGGGUGAUCGGCCACACUGGGACUGAGACACGGCCCAGACUCCUACGGGAGGCAGCAGUAGGGAAUCUUCGGCAAUGGACGAAAGUCUGACCGAGCAACGCCGCGUGAGUGAAGAAGGUUUUCGGAUCGUAAAGCUCUGUUGUAAGAGAAGAACGGGUGUGAGAGUGGAAAGUUCACACUGUGACGGUAUCUUACCAGAAAGGGACGGCUAACUACGUG